UACGUAGGGGGCGAGCGUUGUCCGGAGUUACUGGGCGUAAAGCGCACGCAGGCGGUCUGUCAAGUUUGGAGUGACAGUUGGUGGCUUAACUGCCAAAGUGCUUCGAAAACUGACAGACUUGAGGGCUUCAGAGGGACACGGAAUUCCGGGUGGAGUGGUGAAAUGCGUAGAGAUCCGGAGGAACACCAAAGGCGAAGGCAGUGUCCUGGGGAGUACCUGACGCUCGAGGUGCGAAAGCCAGGGGAGCGAACGGG
rnacentral:rRNA from 1 species